AUGUUAUAUUACCGAGAAUGGUUCAGCCUGGUACCUGGAAAUGCAACUGUGUUCCUUAUACCUGAACUACCAUCCACCACCACUUAUGAUAGUGAUGAAGGGAUCAGGGCUCAGCUGGCAACUGUUUUAAUGACGCAGGAGGCUCCCUCUCCAAGAGCUACAUUGGCUUUGCUUGCUGACAAUGGUAAAAACUUGCUUUGUGUCUGUGAGAUCUCAAGAUAUAAUUUAUAAGCUAUGCGAGUACAGACACAACACCAAUAUUUUAUGCUUAAAUAGCACCUUUCUUGUAAGGAUCCCAAGCCCACUUAAUAUGGCAACAAAUAUUAAUCAAUGUAUUAUCGCUAUGUGACACCUGUUUUAUACACCUCUUAUUAUUUCUGUUACACAAAUUUUACAUGAAAGAAAAAAUCAUAGACUGUGAACCUACUUUAUUAUAAUUGGUGACGAGCUGCUCCUGGUAUGAUGAAAAUAAAUUACUUCAGGUGCCAAAGUACAAUAUAAUGCAAUUUUAUUAUCAAACGUUAAUUGAUUAUUAAUUAUCAGCUCACAAAGGGCUGACAGUCUUCUUGUAGUGAAGAGAAAGGAGGCUAGGUUGGACAGUCCCAAAGAAAGGCACAAGGCUGAGCAAGGUGGCAUCACGUCGGCUCAGGUGUUUGUGUUAAAUGAUGCUUGCUAAUGAGGUAGCAAGAUACUGAUAAGAAUUCUGAGCAGAAGAAAUCAUAUCAGAACCCACUGGAAGCCAAUAUGAGACCAAAAAAACACGGCAAUGCUUGCUGAAAAAUGACAGCAGUGGGUGUUCUGUAUUCACGGCGAGCCUUAGAAUAAUGCCACCAACAAUGACAAGGCCGGAAGGAUACGAAGUAUGGUCAUUUUCCAGUGGAAAUCUGCACAAUUAAUGUUGUAACGAGAUAUUUGUAUUGAUGAAAACUUUAUGUUUGACCAAGAGAAGUUUAAAAACACUAAUAGAGCAGUCACUAAAAACAGAGCUUUUGGAUAUUACAAGAAUAAUGAGAAGAAAUCAGUUUUCUACCCAGAUAGUUUUUUUUUCUUUUUAAAUCGGGUGAUAGUUACACUAAAAGCACAGACUUCAGCACUGUGCAAUACAUCCAUGUAACAAAACUGCACGGUACUCCCAAGUGUAUAUACAUAUGUUUUUAAUAAAAAAUAAAAUAAGGGCAAAAAGUAUCUGAUUUCCAGACUCAUGGACAAAUCCCUGGGAGGACCGAGACUUUAUAGGCCGUUUCCACUCCAGGCCAUCAUCCCAUAUUCCAGGUCUACUUUGCCUGUUAGCUAUGGCUUGUGCAUGUUCUUCUUGGCAAAGCAGGCCACAACUGUGCCAGCCCUCUAAAGUGAGAAAGCCGCAGCUGUCCCUCUCAUCUUCUCCUCAACAUCCAAAAUAGAACUGCAGACCUUUCCCCCAACCUUUCCUUUCCUUUCUCCCUAUUUUCAUAUGACCUAAAUAAGAGUUCCAACUUCUGAGAUUUCCUUAGACCACAUGGACCCUCGAUCAACAUGGGUUUGAACUGCACGGAUCCAUUCAUACGUGGGGUUUCUUCCACCUCUGCCAGCCCUGAGAAAACUCUACUCCUCCUUCUCCUCCUCCUGCCUACUCAACAGAAAGACAAGGUCCCUCAUUCCUUUCUUUUCUUUUUUUUUCUUUGAGAGGAAGUCUCACUCUGUUUGUUGCCGAGGCCGGAGGGCAGUGACACAAUCUCCACUCACUGCAAUCUAUGGGUUCAAGCGAUUCUCAUGCCUCAGGCUCCCAAGUAGCUGGGACCACAUGCGCCUGUCACCAAGUCUGGCUAAUUUUUUUGUAUUUUAAUAGCGAUGGAGUUUCAACAUAUUGGCCAGGUUAGUCUCAAAUUCCUGACCUCAAGCAAUUCACCCUCUUCUCCCUCCUUCCCCCCACCCUUCUUCCACCUCAUCUAACAGGAAGACAAGGUCUUUUUUUUUUUGGAGAGAGGGAGUCUCACUCUGUCACCCAGUCUGGAGUGCAGUGAUGCAAUCUCUGCUCACUGCAACCUCUACCUCCCAGGUUCAAGCAAUAUUCCUGUCUCAGCCUCCCAAGUGGCUAGGACUACAGGUGCCUGCCACGAAGCCUUGCUAAUUUUUUGUAUUUUUAGUAGAGAUGGGGUUUCAACAUAUUGGCCAGGCUAGUCUCGAACUCCUGACCUUAAGUGAUCAGUCCACCUCACCCUCCCAAAAUGCUGGGAUUACAGGUGUGAGUCACCGUGCCUGACCUAGAAGACCUAGGAUGAGUCUUUAUGAGAUCAUCUACUUCCACUUAAUGAAAAAUAAAUGUUUUAUUUUCCUUAUGGUUUUAACCUUUUUUUCUCUAGUUUAUUUCAUUGUAAGAAUAUCACAUAUAAUACAUAUGACAUAUAAAAUAUAAGUUAAUCAAUGCUUAUGUUCUUGGUAAGUCAACAGUAGGCUAUUAAUAGUUAAGUUUUGGGGAAGUCAAAUGCUAUAUGUGAAUUUUUGGGUGGGGUUUCGUGCCUCUAACUCCUGCAUUAUUCAAGGGUCAAUGAUAAUUGGUAAUAAUACAAAGCUUAUCCUGAUUUGUUCUCAAUGGCAAUAAUUACUUAAUAAGAAAGUACAUUUUGUAUGAAGCUAUGGGAAAUACAUUUCUUUUUAAAGUCUACAUUGUUGGCUUUUAUAUUCUGAUAUGGAGCAAAACAUGUUUGUGCUUCAUACUUCACUAACUCUUAACUGCAGAUAACGCAUAUAAGUAUCAUACAAAUGAAAGCACAGGAACCGUUAUUACUAGUAAAGAAACCUGAGUGUAACCAGAGAGAAUUAGGACGUAUUGUCUCUGACAUCUCAGUUGGACAUAGGUUCUUAGUGGAGGUACGGCCUUGCUUACCGACAGCAAAACUGAAUCUAAUAGAAAUAGCCAUGAACAUUAAGCUUGUCUUUCACAAUGUACCUACAUUUGAGGUAGGAUAUUUGAUUUUACAUAUUUAAGAUGUAUAACAUGAUGCUUUGAAAUAUAUAUAUUUAUAUAUAUAUGUAUAUUAUAUAUGUCUAUAUAUAUGUGUAUAAUUAUUAUAGUUAAGAAAAUUAGCCUAUGCAUCAUCAUGCUGUACAUUGCAUUUAUUUAUUAUUUUAUUAGACAUUCAUCCUACAUAGCUGCAAGUUUGUACUUUUUGACCUACUUCCUCCCACUUCCAGCCACUCCCCACCCUGCCCCAGUAAUGACUAUUUUUUAGAUGCCACAGAUGAGAUUAUGCAGUAUUUUUCCUUCUGUGUCUUGCUUAUUUUAGUUAACAUUAUGUCCUCUUUUUUUCAUUAUAAACCAGUGUUAAGAUUAUUUCUUGUAAAAUAAAGUUUCCAGAUAAGUAUCUACACUCUUACAUAAAAGUGUAAAAGCAAACAAAAUAAAAAUAGUUUAUUGUUACAUCGCUCAAAGCAAUUUGAAUUUUAACUAAAAGCCUUUUUUAUAUUAAAUUUACUUAUUAAUUAAGAGAUUAAAAAGGGUAAAAAGAUUGGUGUGUUCCAAUUGUUGCUCAAAUUAUACUUUACAUAAGUAAAUAUUUAUUCUUUCUAUUUCUUAUGUGGAGAUUUAUUUUUCUCAUAACAAGUAUUAUUGAAUGACUGGAUAUUUCAGGAAAGAGUUCUGAAAUGAAUUUUUAUUGAUAAAAUUCUAACCUGAGUUUUUCUAUGCCACUGCUACUUGGAUAGGCACAUUUUAAUUUUUUUGCAUGACAGAUUAAUUUGAUAAUUAAUACGGAUUGUUAUUUUUAAAUUCCACAUCUUCAUUUAACAAA
ensembl:lncRNA